ensembl:lncRNA
UGAACACUGUAACUUUCUGUGGAUGAAAUUACUGCCACAGCAGUGAGAAGAAGACCUUUAGAAGACUUACUUGUUCACAGCUGAUAGUAUUUCCAGAAUGAAAGACAGGCUCUGGAGAAAAAGGCAGCACCUUCGAAUCUGAAACAGGAACAUCAAAGACUGUCAUCAAAGAGACAGGCUCUUCAAGAAGAACAAAAAGAGACGAAUCACCAAUCACAUCAGAGGGCUGAGCUGAGCAAGUGAAGGACUGGAAAGACAUAUUCUCCCUCAGGAUUUGCAGGAUCCUUCAAGAACCAUGUUGGCCAUCUUACCUAUUUCCUCUCUAGUGCACCUAGAAUAUGAUAGAAACUGCACGUUUAAGUGAGCCCAUCUAUUGCAUUGCUGCUGAAACGAUUCUCCAACAGAAAAUAGAGAACAUUUUUAAUUCUGUCUUAUAAAGCACCAUUUUCACACUUUUUUUUUUCUUUAUACUGGAUUAAUGCUACAUACUAAACUCUGAAGACCCUCUUAUGAAAUAUAUUGGCCAUCAGACCAAUUUCCUUACCCACAGAAGAGACACUGGUGUAGUAUCUCUCUGUUCUUGAGCAAUUUGGCAGCUCGCUUAAGGACAAAUACGUGACCAGAGGGUGGCCCUUGAGCCAUGUGCAAUUUAUGCGACUCCUCAGCACAGCUGGAUCCAGAUGUCCCAGCUGUGGGAGCUCCCCUAAGUCCUCAGCUGCAAGAAGAAUUGACCCAGGAGGGACAGUCAACGUCUGCAGCUGAAGCCAAGCCUUCAAGACAACAAAGAAGAGCUUCUGUUGAUUGUGUUGAUUGUUGAUUGUGACCAUGCGAAGAUUUUGGAACCUUGCCUUAAUGUUGGACAUCCUUUGCUCAUAGCAUCAAAAAGCAAAUUACUGCAUAUUUGUCAUACCACAAAUGUCUGCUGCUGCUGACAGCUGCCAUAAUUUUAUGUAC